CCCUACGGGAGGCAGCAGUGGGGAAUAUUGCACAAUGGGGGAAACCCUGAUGCAGCGACGCCGCGUGAGUGAUGAAGUAUUUCGGUAUGUAAAGCUCUAUCAGCAGGGAAGAUAAUGACGGUACCUGACUAAGAAGCUCCGGCUAAAUACGUGCCAGCAGCCGCGGUAAUACGUAUGGAGCAAGCGUUAUCCGGAUUUAUUGGGUUUAAAGGGUGCGUAGGCGGAACAUUAAGUCAGCGGUAAAAUCGAGGGGCUCAACCCCUUUAAGCCGUUGAAACUGGUGAUCUUGAGUGGGCGAGAAGUAU
rnacentral:rRNA from 1 species